rnacentral:rRNA from 1 species
AUGCAAAGAACUUUGAAAAGAGAGUUAAAGAGUACCUGAAAUUGCUGAAAGGGAAGCGAAGGAAACCAGUGUUGGCUAUGUCAUAUUUCCCUGUCCGCUUGCGGUUCGGGCGCUGUGGCAUGCCUUUGUUGUUUUUGGUUGGGACCUUUGGAAGAGCGCAGUGAGAGUUGAUCUCUGUUGCUAGCACUGGUCUUGACUGAGGAGGACGAAAUGGUUUUCUUUACCCCGUCUUGAAACACGGACCAAGGAGUCUAACAUAUGUGCGAGUACAGGGGUGGCAAACCCCCGUGCGCAAUGAAAGUGACAGUGGUUGGACUUUUGCACAAUCCGCCGGCCUCAAUCCCUCGGGAGAACGGUCUGAGUGUGAGCAUACAUGUUGGGACCCGAAAGAUGGUGAACUAUGCCUGAAUAGGGUGAAGCCAGGGGAAACUCUGGUGGAGGCUCGUAGCGAUUCUGACGUGCAAAUCGAUCGUCAAAUUUGGGUAUAGGGGCGAAAGACUAAUCGAACCAUCUAGUAGCUGGUUCCCUCCGAAAUUUCCCUCAGGAUAGCUGCGAUCGGUGUUCAAUUUUAUCA